UACGAGGGGGGCAAAUGUUGUUCGGAAUUACUGGGCGUAAAGAGUGUGUAGGCGGUGCUCUAAGUUCGGUGUGAAAUCUCCCGGCUUAACUGGGAGGGUGCGCCGGAAACUGGAGUGCUCGAGCGUGGGAGAGGAAAGCGGAAUUCCUGGUGUAGCGGUGAAAUGCGUAGAUAUCAGGAGGAACACCUGCGGUGUAGACGGCUUUCUGGACCAUUGCUGACGCUGAGACACGAAAGCGUGGGUAGCAAACAGG
rnacentral:rRNA from 1 species